UGCUUGAAAGCGAAAAUAUUUGCACUAAGUUUCGGCCUUAGCUUUGAGAUUUUAUUCUCUCAAGUAA
rnacentral:tRNA from 1 species